rnacentral:rRNA from 1 species
UACGAAGGGGGCUAGCGUUGCUCGGAAUUACUGGGCGUAAAGGGCGCGUAGGCGGCACUGUUAGUCAGGCGUGAAAGUCCUGGGCUCAACCUGGGAACUGCGCUUGAUACGGCAGAGCUAGAGGAUGGAAGAGGCUCGCGGAAUUCCCAGUGUAGAGGUGAAAUUCGUAGAUAUUGGGAAGAACACCGGUGGCGAAGGCGGCGAGCUGGUCCAUUACUGACGCUGAGCGCG